GCGUAUGUUUUUAAAGGUCACCACAAUCUCUUUAUUGUGUCUAAAAGGACAGGGACACACUCAACUGCAUAUAGACUGCAGAAAUUGCACCUUUGUGAUAAUAAUGGGAGGCAUAUUAUUCCAGAAAUCCUUCACGAAGUGAACUCCGAGUGCUGGAGAUCUGCCUCAGGACACCAGCGCCCUCCUAGAGCCGUCAACAUGGCACAGUCCGCUUCCUCUUUAGUGAACGGCAGGACGUCUGAACUUGAUCCAGGUAUCGAGAGGAGAUCCUCGGUUUCUGAGACGCUGGGGUUGCGCUGAUCGAGGCCUUUCAGGAGAAGAUGACAAGCCUCCAAAUCAGCCUCCCAAAUGUGUUCCAACGCUGGACAUCCACAGCUACGUCCAUGAAACUAGAGUUCGGCUCUUGAGAGGACGAUAAUUACGGUCUUCACACCCAAUCUCUCCAGAGACAGACAGCUUCCUAAAACGACAACAGACAAUGCGGUAACCCUCCCCAGAAACCCUAUCAACCUGCCUUGCUCCUCCUGGUAGCUUUAUUCAGCUGCCACACAAACCCACAGAGAUUCAUUUACAUGUUUGUUUGGUUUCAUGCCUCAUGAAGAGCUGAGAAAGUAAAAUAAAUGUACAUACAGGAUUUCUGCAUGACUUACAAAGGAUUCCAGUAGAAUUUGACGAGAUUAGCAGACGAGAUUAGCAUUAGAAUGCUGCUUAAGGUUGAAAGUCAAUAGAAUAUGAUAAGUGAGAAUGCUGUUAAAAUGUUCAAUUUCAAUAAAAUUUGAAUGUUAGAAUGUUGUUAAAAAGUUGGAUUCCAACUGAAUUUUACAUGUUAGAAUGUUGCUAAAUUUUGAAUGUCAAUAGAAUUUGACAUGUUAGAAUGCUAUUAAAAUGUUGAAUUUCAACAGAAUUUGACGUUAGAAUGUUGCUAAAUGUUGAAUUUCAACAGAAUUUUACAUUAGAAUGUUGCUAAAAUGUUUGAUUCCAACAGAAUUUGAUGUUAGAAUGUUGCUAAAUGUUGAAUGUCAAUAGAAUUUGACAUGUUAGAAUGCUAUUAAAAUGUUGAAUGUCAAUAGAAUUUGACAUUAGAAUGUUGCUAAAUGUUGAAUUUCAAUAGAAUUUGACGUUAGAAUACUUUUAAAAUGUUGAAUGUCAAUAGAAUUUGAUGUUAGAAUGUUGCUAAAUGUUGAAUGUCAAUAGAAUUUGACAUGUUAGAAUGCUGUUAAAAUGUUGAAUUUCAAUAGAAUUUAUCAUGUUAGAAUGUUGCUAAAUGUUGAAAUUCAACAGAAUUUGACAUGUUAGAAUGUUACUAAAAUGUUGGAUUCUAAUAGAAUUUGAUGUUAGAAUGUUGUUAAAGGUUGAAUGUGAAUAGAAUUUGAUGUGUGAGAAUGCUUUUAAAAUAUUGAAUUUCAACAAAAUUUGAAUGUUAGAAUGCUGGAUUCUAACAGAAUUUGACGUUAGAAUGUUGCUAAAUGUUACAAUGCUAUUAAAAUGUUGAAUGUCAAUAGAAUUUGACAUUAGAAUGUUGCUAAAUGUUGAAUGUCAAUAAAAUUUGACAUGUUAGAAUGCUAUUAAAAUGUUGAAUGUCAAUAGAAUUUGACAUUAGAAUGUUGCUAAAUGUUGAAUGUCAAUAAAAUUUGACGUUAGAAUGCUAUUAAAAUGUUGAAUGUCAAUAGAAUUUGAUGUUAGAAUGUUGCUAAAUGUUGAAUUUCAAUAGAAUUUGACAUGUUAGAAUACUUUUAAAAUGUUGAAUGUCAAUAGAAUUUGAUGUUAGAAUGUUGCUAAAUGUUGAAAUUCAACAGAAUUUGACAUGUUAGAAUGUUACUAAAAUGUUGGAUUCUAAUAGAAUUUGAUGUUAGGAUGUGUAUAAUGUUGGAUUCCUAUAGAAUUUGAUGUUAGAAUGUUGUUAAAGGUUGAAUGUGAAUAGAAUUUGAUGUGUUUGAAUGCUAUUAAAAUGUUGAAUUCCCACAGAGUUUGACAUGUUGGAAUGUUACUAAAAUGUUGGAUUCCAAUAGAAUUUGAUGUUAGAAUGUUGCUGAAGUUUGAACGUGAAUAGAAUUUGAUGUGUGAGAAUGCUUUUAAAAUGUUGAAU